rnacentral:rRNA from 1 species
AUGACUAGGGAUAACCUUAGGAAGAGACACAUCAUCAAACCCCUUGAUUGUGUUUACUGCUUGGAACAAGAGUCUUGUUCUCACCUAUUUUUUGAAUGUAUAGUUGCUAAACAUCUCUGGGCCCACAUUGAGGAAUAUUUCUCUAGUCAGAUUGGCUCAUCCUUCGAAUCUGUCGCCAGAUUCUGGAUUGCUACCAAAAAGUGCUUAGUUUUAAACACUGUUAGUUCAGCUGUCCUUUGGUGCCUCUGGAAAUAUAGAAAUGCUAUGAUUUUCAGUAACACCUCCUGGAUUUCCAUUCCACAGGUCUUGAGGUUGAUCAGGAACAUGGUGAGGAACUGGGCGAUUCUCUCCUCCGGAUCGGACAAGGACAAGUUGAUGAGCUUCGUGGAAACCCUAACAAGAUCCCUCCAGAAACCGUUGGCGAUCACUUGUGGCUGA